rnacentral:rRNA from 1 species
AUUGAACGCUGGCGGCAGGCCUAACACAUGCAAGUCGAACGAGUGGCGGACGGGUGAGUAAUGUCUGGGAAACUGCUCGAUGGAGGGGGAUAACUACUGGAAACGGUAGCUAAUACCGCAUACAAUCGGAUGUGCCCAGAUGGGAUUAGCUUGUAGGUGAGGUAACGGCUCACCUAGGCGACGAUCCCUAGAUGGUCUGAGAGGAUGACCAGCCACACUGGACCUGUGACACGGUCGUGACUCCUAAGUGAGGCAGCAGUGGGGAAUAUGGCACAAUGGGAGCAAGCCUGAUGCAGCCAGGCCGCGUGUAUGAAGAAGGCCUUCGGUUUGUAAAGUACUUUCAGCUGGGAGGCGUUACUCGCAGAAGAAGCACCGGCUAACUCCGUGCCAGCCGCCGCGGUAAUAC